GGUGGCUCAGUGGUAGAGUGCUUGCCUUGCUUGCAUGAGGCUCUGGGUUCGAUUCCUCAGCACCA
rnacentral:tRNA from 1 species